UGAGAUAUCGUCACUGCUGCA
rnacentral:miRNA from 1 species